AGAGUUUGAUCCUGGCUCAGGAUGAACGCUAGCGAUAGGCUUAACACAUGCAAGUCGAGGGGCAGCAUGGUCUUAGCUUGCUAAGACUGAUGGCGACCGGCGCACGGGUGCGUAACGCGUAUGCAACUUGCCUCACAGAGGGGGAUAACCCGUCGAAAGACGGACUAAUACCGCGUACACUCCAUCUUGGGCAUCCAAGAUAGAGGAAAUGAAAUUCGCUGUGAGAUAGGCAUGCGUCCCAUUAGCUAGUUGGUGAGGUAACGGCUCACCAAGGCGACGAUGGGUAGGGGAACUGAGAGGUUGAACCCCCACACUGGUACUGAGACACGGACCAGACUCCUACGGGAGGCAGCAGUGAGGAAUAUUGGUCAAUGGGCGAGAGCCUGAACCAGCCAAGUCGCGUGAAGGAUGACUGUCUUAUGGAUUGUAAACUUCUUUUAUACGGGAAUAACAAGAGCCACGUGUGGCUCCCUGCAUGUACCGUAUGAAUAAGCAUCGGCUAACUCCGUGCCAGCAGCCGCGGUAAUACGGAGGAUGCGAGCGUUAUCCGGAUUUAUUGGGUUUAAAGGGUGCGUAGGCGGCCUGUUAAGUCAGCGGUGAAAUCUAGGAGCUUAACUCCUAAAUUGCCAUUGAUACUGGCGGGCUUGAGUGUAGAUGAGGUAGGCGGAAUGCGUGGUGUAGCGGUGGAAUGCAUAGAUAUCACGCAGAACUCCGAUUGCGAAGGCAGCUUACUAAGGUACAACUGACGCUGAAGCACGAAAGCGUGGGUAUCAAACAGGAUUAGAUACCCUGGUAGUCCACGCUGUAAACGAUGAUAACUGGGCGUAUGCGAUAUACAGUAUGCUCCUAAGCGAAAGCGUUAAGUUAUCCACCUGGGGAGUACGCCGGCAACGGUGAAACUCAAAGGAAUUGACGGGGGCCC
rnacentral:rRNA from 1 species